UACAAUAGAAUCGGCUCACUCAAAGGCGGUCUGACUCACUCCCCCGAUUGAAAGGUGGUGAUGUCCAUGACAACAUUUGAAGCAUUAAUGCUAAUGUUAACAUUCGGAUUACUGAUUGUUGCUAUGUUGUCACUCGACAAAAAGAAAUAGACCUCCCUUGAGCCUAGACAACUUGUAGGGAUUGGUCUAUUUCAUUACCCAAUUCGAGCCAGCCACUCUUUGAGGGACGGCUAUUGUACUCGACCAUAGGUGUUAGCGCACCUAUGG
rnacentral:sRNA from 1 species